CGAGCGAGGAAUGUCGGAUAGCUUGCUACCUGACAUUUCUAGCGGCGGACGGGUGAGUAACGCGUGAGCAACCUGCCUUUAUCAGGGGGAUAACGCAUCGAAAGAUGUGCUAAUACCGCGUAAGACCACAGCCUCACAUGGGGCAGAGGUCAAAGGAGCAAUCCGGAUAAAGAUGGGCUCGCGUCCGAUUAGCUAGUUGGUGAGAUAACAGCCCACCAAGGCGACGAUCGGUAGCCGACCUGAGAGGGUGAUCGGCCACAUUGGAACUGAGAAACGGUCCAGACUCCUACGGGAGGCAGCAGUGGGGAAUAUUGGGCAAUGGGCGAAAGCCUGACCCAGCAACGCCGCGUGAGGGAAGAAGGGUUUCGGCUCGUAAACCUCUGUCCUAUGGGACGAAGGAAGUGACGGUACCAUAGGAGGAAGCCCCGGCUAACUACGUGCCAGCAGCCGCGGUAAUACGUAGGGGGCGAGCGUUGUCCGGAAUGAUUGGGCGUAAAGGGCGCGUAGGCGGCCUGCUAAGUCUGGAGUGAAAGUCCUGCUUUCAAGGUGGGAAGUGCUUUGGAUACUGGUGGGCUGGAGUGCAGGAGAGGAAAGCGGAAUUACCGGUGUAGCGGUGAAAUGCGUAGAGAUCGGUAGGAACACCAGUGGCGAAGGCGGCUUUCUGGACUGAAACUGACGCUGAGGCGCGAAAGCGUGGGGAGCAAACAGGAUUAGAUACCCUGGUAGUCCACGCGGUAAACGAUGAAUGCUAGGUGUAGGAGGUAUCGACCCCUUCUGUGCCGCAGUAAACACAAUAAGCA
rnacentral:rRNA from 1 species